UAUUUAUCAGCACGUCUGUUCUCUCUCACCUCACUUGUGGAAUUGCAUAUUGUACAUAGCAACAAAUUAUUUUAUAUAGUUCUAAAUAAUACUUAUUAAUCUCUGCUAAGGAAACAUGUCCCCCAAAAUUAAUUCCCCACAAAAACCCCAUUUGAAAACAAGUCCCUCAACUACAAGCAUGUCAAAUCUUUCAUAUCUCCAAAAACAACGCUUGUACAAACAAAUAUUUCUCAGAAAAGGGAAACUUUCCAUGGCAUCAUCGUUAUCUCAAAUGUUUGCAAAAUUUUCAAUGCUCUGCCUAGUCGAACUAAAAUUCAAUCCCGACUCAAUAAAUCAACCGGAUCCCACCCUUCUCGCUAUUUAUGUCGUCACCACAUCAAUCCUCAUCACGCACACGGUCAUCCUGCACCUCGCCCUGUGUCACAUCGACACCAGUCUGGACCCCAUCAUCGCCUCCUCGAAUCACUCCAUUGAACACUUCGACUUUGACUGGAUCCCGUUUCAAGCCCUCUUUUUCACCUGGGAUGGCGUCUACGUGGUCGGAAUUUGCGGUGGAUUUUUCCUCUUCACAUUAUGCUUCAUUCUACUCUUGUGGAUAAAAUUUGUCCAAGCAGGCAGUUAUCUGCCCUUCGUGGGGAUGAUAUUUAUGGGACCGGUUUUCCUCAUCGUUUGCAUUUACGGGAUUGUCCUCUACAUACGGGAAAAGCGACAGAGGGGAGAAGAAAGAGCGAGUGACGUGACGACCUACAACGUGAGGAACGACGAUUUGGAAGUUUUUGCCAUAAUAUUUUGCGAUAGGUGUAAAGUGCAUGUCGAAAAGUAUUUUACUGGAGAGGAGAUGUUGCAAAUUAAUGAUAUUGAUGUCCCCUGCUGUAAGUAUAGGAAACGGUUGUUUAGAAAAUUAGAGUAAAACUGUAACACUUCCAAAUUUUAUAAAUCGUUUAAUUAGUUUCAGUUUUUGUACGAUGAACUGUUUUAUAUUCUGGAUUAGAUAAACUCAAUGAAUAAGAAUGUAUCCUCAAAAACUAUUAUUUGAUGAUUACUCCAGAUCAAGAUGAUGCAUGUAAGCAUAUCUUGUGUCUUCCGUGGGAUAAUAAUACAUAACCCGUUGUGAAGAUAUUUCUGACCAGAUUAUUCCGUCAACAUGGUUAAGUGAUAUGUACUGUGUUGAAACGUUUAAUAAUUUCAAGUUUUCUGUAGUGAAAAUUCACGACAUUCACCAAACUAAGCGGACAAGUCACAUAAUGACUUGUCCAUUUAGAAGGUAAUAAAAUAAAUUAUUUUAUGAUGUGCCGGAUGAAUUUCCAUUCAUCCGUCAAAAUUGAAAAAAAUUACAAAUAUUUAUGACUAAAUGAAAACGUAAAUAUAAUACUCACCGAGUUGGAUAAUAUAUAUGAAAACAAAAUCAAAAUAGAUUAGUUCCAUGGGAGCAUGGGACUGAAUAUUCUGUUAAUCUCUUACUUCGUGCCUAAUUUUUAUUAAAUUUGUAAACGACUGGGAAAAUACUAGGAUCCAAUCUUUUAUUACUUAAAUACCGACUUGCUAAAACAUACCAUUAACACUGUGAAUGUAUACUCGUACGUAUGCAUGUAUUUUUGAGCAUAUGUACAUAUACAUAUGUACAUAUGUGACGACAAUGUAUGGACUUGCGGAAUCUGCUUUCAAUUAGAUUACUACCUUCUUAUCACCAAGCUCAUACGCAAACUCCACAAAAAGUCAUCAUCCAUAGCACACGCAGGUAAUAUAAAUUAGUAUUUAUGUGCAUACUUAUAUAUAUUCAUAAGACAACGGCUACACCAAUCGAGCAUUACUAAAAUUUACCUACCUACUUAAACAUGUAUGCACGUAUGUCCCAUCUGAUCGCUUAUCUUGUCACCUUUACCCAAUAAAAAAAUGCAACCAAUUAACGCGUGACUAAUAUAUGCAUGCAAAACCAUGCAAAUGUACACAAAUAUGUACAUAAUUUAGUUGUUCCUGAUCAUUAACUCGCAAUGUGUGGACCAGAAGGACGCAAGCAGACAAUUUUGCGUACUGCAUAAGUUUUGCGUACCCAAAAAAUUGAACCCUAAAACUCGAGAUUAUUUCAAAAUGUCUCCAAAUAUUAGCACUUAUUCUUAUCAGCCCUUACCAACACAAUCCUCAGGGUCAAAGUUUCCUCGUCAUGACAAGACCCGGAUUUACCAGCAAAUAUUCACGAGGAAAGGGAAACUUUCAAUGGCAUCGUCCCUGUCACAAAUGUUUGCCAAAUUUUCAGUGCUCUGUCUUGUCGAAAUAAAAUUCAACGCCUCCUCCAAGCACCAACCGGACCCGAUGCUUGUCACCGUUUACGCCAUUGUUACGUCUCUCUUCAUCGCCCACACGGUCACUCUUCAUCUCGCCUUGUGUCACAUUGACACGAGUCUGGAUCCCAUCAUCGCCUCCUCAAAUAAUUCCAUCGAACAAUUCGACUUUAACCAGCUUCCUUUUCACGCUCUCUUUUUCAGUUGGGAUUUCGCCUACGUGGUCGGAAUCUGUGGUGGAUAUUUUCUAUUUAGUUUGUGCUUCAUUCUCCUCUUGUGGAUCAAAUUUGCACAAUUUGGAAGAACAAUUCCCUUGUGGGGAUUCAUUUUCAUGGGACCAGUACUCUUAAUCGUGGUCAUUUAUGCGAUUGUGUUGUACUUGAGGGAAAAAAGACAGAGGAUGAGAGGAGGCUAGACAAAAAGGAGACUGGUAAAUUAUUGUGAAAUAAUAAUUCACUCGAAGGCUUGUAGCUCAGUAAACGGGGUAAACUUUAGAAAAUUAUUUUUUACACACUUACUUUUUAUGACUAUUUAACAUGUGUUAAUUUACGUAGAUUAAAUUUGUAUGCUGAUUUUCAGCGUUAAUUUUUGUAAGUUUGUAAACCUAGUUUCACUUUAUAUGGGGAUAUAUUAAAUGAGCACGUGGUCUUAGCGGCUGGAAAUUCUGUCACCGUGUGUAUGAAAAAUGCUUUUGGAAUCCUAAAGGUAAAGCCUGCAGGUAAAUUUUGCAAGUUUUGCAAGUACAUACAUUAGCGUAAAUUGGCCCAUUAAGUGCUUACAAAUUAUGUAAUCAUCAAUCCCCAAAAAUGAAUAUGUGAAUGUACAAUUCCACUCAUCCGAAUCGCGUUAAAUAAAUUUAAUUCUGUUAAUUUUUUCGGUGUUCAGUCAAUCUCUCAAUAAAUACGAAAUUACACUGAAAACUGUGCGAUUUAAGUGAUAAUUAAGUACUCAACUUAUUUUUAGACUCGCACUAAAUGAAAGAGAAGGAUUUAUACCUAUUUUUAGAACUUAUGUAUAAUCAUUACCUUGGUUUUGUGAAGGUUCUUCCAUUGUCGGACCCAGCUUGCACCAGUAUCUCACGGGUUUUUAAGAAUGGCCAAUAUUACAAAAAGCUAAGAAUAGCCCAGUCAACAAAGGUGGGAUGACUCUUCAAUAUUUUAUUUUAUUUCAUACAUAUGCCGGCCGGCACAUAAAAAAUAUGAUACUCAUUCAAAUCUGUGAAGUACUUCGUCCCAUCGGAAAUCAUUAAUUGCCACCGGUUUCGGUAGAUUUGAAUUAUGAAAGAAAUUGUAACAAUGUAUAUAAAAUAGUAAACCAAUAAGUUGGCUUAAUUUGCAAAACUGUGCUAAACUUAUUUGGCACAUGGUAAAAUUUUAUUCAAGGAUUAAAUAGAAACCAGGAUAAAAACGUGACAACUUUGUGACAUACUAACCUUUAAUUAUUUAUUAGUUCAAUCAUAUCGAUUAUUCUUAAUUAAUAAAUAAAACAAAAUAAAUA